UCCACGUCCACUAGACGCGCGGGCAUC
rnacentral:sRNA from 1 species